AACGGUCUAUACCUGCGGUACCUGCGGAAGGAUCAUUACCGAGUUUACAACUCCCAAACCCAAUGUGAACCAUACCAAACUGUUGCCUCGGCGGGGUCACGCCCCGGGUGCGUCGCAGCCCCGGAACCAGGCGCCCGCCGGAGGGACCAACCAAACUCUUUCUGUAGUCCCCUCGCGGACGUUAUUUCUUACAGCUCUGAGCAAAAAUUCAAAAUGAAUCAAAACUUUUAACAACGGAUC
rnacentral:misc_RNA from 1 species